AUGGCGUCUGGCUCUGUUCCCCUUGGGAGGACUAGGAGGGGGCUGGUGUCUUGCGCGCACAGCCUCAACUGCCGCGCCGACGACGCGCCUCUGCCUCUUUACCCCGACCUCGAAAAGGCCAUCUACGAGCUCAUCGUCAACUUCUACGACCAGGCGUUCAACCGGCUGCCCUGCGACAGGAUUCCGGGCCUCCGCGACCUGCUCACCACCGCCGGCACCUACCUCGGCCUCCUCGACCCCGUCUCCAACAUAAUGCUCAACACCAUCGCCCUCCUCCCCGAAGGCACCGCCGGCGCCGCCUCCACCGCUCCACCCGCCGCAAAGAAGUCCAAGAGACCAGCGCGCAACGCCUGGCAGUGGCACGACAUUGCAAACAGGUCCUACAACAGUCUCCUGGGCUUCCUCAUGGCCUACUUCGGAUGUCUCUGCACCAAGCAACAGGCCGCCCGCUACCUCUACUGGGCCGACGCCAAUCUUAGCCUCGCCGUCAUGCUCGUCCAACACGAUCUCUACUAUGCGGAGGUGGAGGCACUGGACCCUGAAUCCGACAGGACGCAGGCCGCCCUGGAGUGGGCGGCCACCAUGGCCGGUCACCCUUCCCCCAGCGUUUUGACCAAGCUCAUGUCAUCCGGGCUCAAAGAGGACGACUUUCACCUUCUGGAGAAGCUACUCUUUUCAGCACCAGAUGUCCCUCUCAAGGCUGAUGAUGUCGGAGCAAUCGAUCGCAUAUUGUGCGUGACGAUGAGCCCGCCCUGUCUUGCCACCAUAAUCCAUACUAGAAAAGGGUCGAUUCUCCAUGUCCAUAAGAACCACGACGCCGCGUGGUCGAGCACCCCCUCCACUAUGGAGGACAACAAGAUCACUUCCACUGCCCUCUCCUGGGACGGAAAGCCCAUCUCGUCGCUGCAGUGCGGACUGCCUGACAAGCUGCAACAUUGCCUCGGAAGAGCAGAUGGCCUGGAACAAUAUUUGAAGAAGACCCCGUGCAGCGUUGACACCUGCGAUUACCUGCAGACCCUUAAGAUGCGCCUCCAAGGUAUGAUUCACAACUUCUGCAUCAAGGCUCUCAAGCUGCUGCCCACACCAUCCGGCUCGUUCAUGCGCGGCUUCCUCAUGGCCGGCCACUGCUACGGCUCCAUGGACCCUGUCUCCAUCAUCAUCGUCAACUCCAUCUGGUACAACAGCCACAGCUGCCCUCUCCUAGAGUCUGAACGCAGCAAGAUUGAGAAAUACAAUGACAUCCUUGACCCUCAUUCUCUGCUCCGCACACAGGUUCACUCCCUCAAGGGCCUUAUGGAGCUCGCCACAUUCGUCGGCCCCCAGUUCUCAACAGAGGCUUGUGCUCUGGAGUUGCUCUGCGAUACAAGAUGUGAUAUUGUUGACAUGUUGCAAUCAUCACCAGAGAUGCUUGAAAAGAAGAACCCCCUCCAUGAAGCUGCCAAGGCCGCUGGACACCCUCUACCGCUUCAGCUGGGUGAACUGCACCAGCUGCUGCUGAUGAUGCCUGAUGAGCGAAGCGCACUGCUCUCCUUGAUGACUGAGGCUCGAACUGGCCGUACUGUGUUGCGCCUCAAUGACAUGACUCUUCGUAUGAGGUGCAUGUGGCUCAAAUGCUCGGCUGCCAAAACUGGUGGCAUUGUGCGAGUUCCUAAACUUUUUCCAGAGUCUCGGAAGUUGGUGUCAAGCAUGAGAUCAAAGUAUGAGGAGCGGAGGAGCUGGUUCCGUUCGAAGAUUGAACAGGUGUUGAAGGAUUACACGACCCAGCAUUUUUGGGAACCAAAAUAUAAACUUGAUAUUAUCUUUGGCGUGGAGGCAAUCAACCAGGGCCGCCCCCCCUUGGGUGAGAUGUGCUACCGCGUGAAUUUCACUGCUACUUCUGAUUUGCAGCUUCAGAGGAUGCUAUUCUUCGCCGAGUUUUUGUUCUCGGGUGGGCCAAGGCCAGAGACCUGCUGCCCUCUACCCUAUGAGUAUGCGGGCCGUUGCUACUAUGGCGAGCAAACCACGAGGAAAAUUAUGUAUCCUGAUGAGGCCAAAUACAUCCCGCACGAUAUCACCCAUUACGGAACCCGCCGCGUGGAUGACAUGCUAGAGAUGGACGUCGUCCACUUCAGUUCCGAGAUGGACGUGGAGCUCACGGAGAAACUCAACAAGAUGCAUGCCCAUUGA
rnacentral:rRNA from 1 species